CUUCCCCCGAACCGGGCAGCCAGCCUCCGCCUCCACCUCCUGCCGCGCCCGUUCUCAUCUCCCCCGCCCCUCUCCCUCCCUACAGAUCACCCGCCGCCAGCCACCACAUCUGCCCCCCACUGACCCGCAGCCACUAGAUCGUCCCCAAGGCCAGCAGCUCCGGCCACCACGAACCCAGAUCCGGUAGCACGGGCUCACGCCCAGGCGUUCGUGUGCUGCGGUCACCUCGGUGGUGAUGGGCUCUGGAGACGCACGGGCGCGGCAACUGAGUGUUGUGUGACACGGCGACCAGUUCUCCUAGCGUGUGGAUCUCGGCGUCCUGCGGCCAGCCCCCGAGCUAUGGCUUGCGAUGCAGCGGCGGACUUCCAAGCGCUUCCGUCCGCCGCACGUUGGAGGCCAAAUCCCGCGAGAUUUGUUUGAGGAAAUUGUUGCUAGGACAUUUGUGGGCAGCUUUGGCUUGAUCCUCUCUCAAAUCUGUCACGGAUUCGGCUUGGAUUUGGAGUUUUCCCCAAAACCGAGUUCUUCGUAGGGUUUCGGUUGACUCCAAAAUUUGUGAUGGAUGCUUGAGCUUUUCGUCAGAUUCUUCGUGGAUCUAUUUUUCCUUGGGGCAGUGAAUCUAUGGCUCAAGUUUUGCUUCGAUUUGUUGUGAUUUGGGAAAGCAAUUUUGAUUCGAAGCUUUGCUAGCUCUCAUGUUCUUCCCCAUGGACAGGGAGAGCCUCACGGAGGCCACGUCGGGGGCAAUCGGCGCGCUCGUCAGCACCAUCGUGCUCUACCCGCUCGACACGUGCAAGACCAAGCUCCAGGCCGAGCUCCAGACGCACCAGGGCAUGCACAAGUACAGUAAGGAUCUCGCUUGCAUUCCAAGGUUUUCUGCUUACAUAUGAUAGUUUUACUUGAAGAACGGAUAACUCUGUGCAGCUGAUGAGGCUUUGAAGAUGCAAAUUGGUUGCCUUCAGAAGAUGAGAAGAAAGAAAAAACGGGAGUCUAUUGGUGGAGGGAUUGGAAGCAUCUCAAACAUUUUAGAUGCAUCACAAAUGACAUUGAAAAUAUCUCCCAUACUUCAUACCACAGAUUUUGAUCAACAUGGCAUCAGGCCACGUCAGCAUGGGAUAUGGUUUCCAGAUGAACUUCCUUGUUACCAUUAGGCAUAACUAUGGUUAUUGUCAAAUGAAUGUUAAUAGGAAUAGUUAUGCUUCUAACUUAGCGUCUAAACCAUGCUGCUGUGACAGCUUGUGCGACCGCUGCUCAAGCUAUUUGUGAUGCUACACGGAUGAUUCUAUUUGGAGAUGCCGAUGUGAUGGUGGCUGGUGGAACAGAGUCCACUAUCGAUGCUUUGUCUAUAGGUGGAUUUUCUAGGCAAGUUAAGGCCAUUUGUCUAACAUACAGAUCCAAAAUCCCAUCUUGAUUUUGUGCAAGGUUGCAGAUCCGUCGGUUCCUGGGUUCUUAGCGUGCUGCUGGUAUGCAAAUAAUUAAACUGAGAUGGAUACAAUACUGGAGGAACUUUUUGCUGCUGCUAAAGUUUUGCGGCUGUACUGGUGGUUUUUGUUGUUUCUAGUGUGUGGUCAAAGAAUGCUGAUAUCUAACUAUUAUUCUUUCUGGUGCUAUCUGUAUGCUGUGGUGAACUCUUUUCACCCCGGAUGAUCUGACAUUUCUGUUGCUGGAACAAAGCUGUAUUAUUGUAUGAUUUUCUGUGAAAUUAGCUGUUGUAAUUCUAUGUA